rnacentral:lncRNA from 1 species
AAGUUGACGUGAACAUGCCAAAAGCUGAGGUAGAAGUGAAAAAAGAAGAAGUUAAAGAAGGUGACAUUCAGUGAGAAUCUGAUUCAAGGACCUACUCCAUAUCGUUUUGAAACAAGGGAUUCAUCAGCUCAAGGUGAAGACUUUUCUUCGUCAGAAGAAUCUGAAAGUUCGGCAGAAAGUGAGUCUAAGGAGAGCAAGGAAGAAUCUGAGAAAGAAUUUUCACUAGAUGAGUACGUGAAAAGUGAAAAGCAAAAACUUUGGACAAGUGUUGAAGAAGAGGAGAGAUUGAACAAAGGACUUGGAGGUAAAAGAAUUGGGAAAGGUUUCAGAAAUUUUGGAAACGGGUAUCUUCGGAGGUAAAGCUAAAGGAGAUUUAGUUUUACCUACAGUUCUCACAAGUAAAAGUCCAGCAGAGUUUGUAAGUGAAGCAGUACCUGAACAAAAAGCUCAGGUGUGCUGCGAUCUUCUCAACAUAGUCUAAGAUUGGUACGGCUCCAGGUAACUCCAUAUUAUUGGCAUGGUACUCUCGCAGGAAGAACACAGAAACGGUCGGUUUCGGAAAUGUUCUUAUGUCGAUAAUUAAUGGAUUAGAGGAGUUACCUGUAGGCAUCUGAAAUCAUGGUGAGGAGACUUUGAUUCCAGGUGGAGCUGUUGGGAGAUUCAAGGGAAGACAUGUGAGCUGUGUUUUCAUGAAUCUGGGAAGCAAGUCGAGAGUACAAGGUUCAGGUUAAGGGACUUACCUGAGGUCAUCUAAGUAGCUAAAGAACAUGGGCUGUUCAUCGGAAGGAGCUGCAAAGAAGAUGAAAUUGAAACUGAUUAGUUUCAGGUGGAGUAGCUGGAAGUGAUUCAUGAAGAGGUUGAUUCAAAGCUCAGUGCACAUGAGAUGAAUCAACAGGUCGACAAAGAUGAAUCAAGUUUUCUGGAGAAGCUACGAAGUAUGAAAUCAAUAAUUAAGAUUUCAUGGUGUCUUGGAAGUAUUUUAAGAUACAGAGAAGAAAAGGAGAUGAUUCAGGUCAGAGGGUUACCUGAGUUCAUCGGAGAAGUUGUGUUUUUCCGCUGCUGCGUAAUAAAGGACUGAAAUUUCAGAAUUGGGAAUCUCAGAAAGGGUCAAUUUCAAAUCAUCACAGCAAGGAGAUGAAGAGGAAAUUGAGGAUACCUGAGAUUACAGAAGAUUAUUGCGACAGAAGAAUCGCAGGAGAUGAAUUUUUUCUUUUUUUUGGUUUGAGAAAAUUUGCAUCUAGUUUCACUAUCGGGAAAAAUCAAAGAGGAAUUGACACUUUGGAGCUUGAAUGGUGACGUGUGAGGGCAGUUGAAGAUACCAGAGAGUGUCGACGGCGACGACAUCACCGGAAAUGAAAAACCCAGGUUGAUCUCUUGAAAUCGCGAUUGAGAGAGAUGAUGGGAAAUUUGGUGACAAGGAUCGAAAUUGGUUGAGCCCAAUGAUGUCGCAAGCUUCAGAGUUUGUCAGAAGUGGUCGAGGUUUGAGAGUUCGCCGGAGUUGAAGUUGCAGAAUGGGAUUUGCAUCUCAGGCGAAGUAGAAGCUUCGAUGAAGAAGAAAACGUGAAAAGAAGAUGAUGGGAAGGUGGGCCUGUGGAGAUUGUGAAGAUAUGGGUUUUGGAUCAAUAUUAUUCACUUGGGCCAGAAGUUUCAGACAAAGCCAUAAAGCCUA